AACUAACGCUGGCAGUGCGUCUUAAGCAUGCAAGUCAAACGGGAUGUAGCAAUACAUCUAGUGGCGAACGGGUGAGUAACGCGUGGAUGAUCUACCUACGAGAUGGGGAUAACUAUUAGAAAUAGUAGCUAAUACCGAAUAAAGUCAAUUAAUUUGUUAAUUGAUGAAAGGAAGCCUUUAAAGCUUCGCUUGUAGAUGAGUCUGCGUCUUAUUAGCUAGUUGGUAGGGUAAAUGCCUACCAAGGCGAUGAUAAGUAACCGGCCUGAGAGGGUGAACGGUCACACUGGAACUGAGAUACGGUCCAGACUCCUACGGGAGGCAGCAGCUAAGAAUCUUCCGCAAUGGGCGAAAGCCUGACGGAGCGACACUGCGUGAAUGAAGAAGGUCGAAAGAUUGUAAAAUUCUUUUAUAAAUGAGGAAUAAGCUUUGUAGGAAAUGACAAAGUGAUGACGUUAAUUUAUGAAUAAGCCCCGGCUAAUUACGUGCCAGCAGCCGCGGUAAUACGUAAGGGGCGAGCGUUGUUCGGGAUUAUUGGGCGUA
rnacentral:rRNA from 1 species